rnacentral:sRNA from 1 species
ACUUAACUGCGUGAGGGAUGGAAACGGCAUCCUUUUGUGGCGGGGUUCGCCACAAAAGAUAUAGUGUACAGCCCGACCCUUG